AUGCUCCUUUCUUGCGCCGAAUCGAGCAUGCUGCUGACUCCGUCCUCCACCGCGGGGACCGCGGAUGGGGCCCGAAGUGGCUCGCCCCCUUUCAGCGGGUGGCUGGGGGCUGGCGGCCGCCCAGUUGCGGGCCAGGCCUCACGAGGAGCCCGAACAAGUGGAGGCCCGCUUCUUGAAGAGGAACCAAAGACCAAAGCCAUCCAGCUGUCGUCCACGACCAGGGGAGGAACCCUUGGCACGCUUGUUGUACUCCAAGCAAGGCCGCGAAGGAGACACGAUGAAGGCGCGAGCUCAAGACGCCUCGUCGAUGGGCUGGCUUCCCCAGUCGACUCCACGCCGUGA
rnacentral:rRNA from 1 species